rnacentral:rRNA from 1 species
UAAAGCUUCAAACUGGGAUUAGAUACCCCACUAUUCUUGAUUGUAAAUAGAAUUAAAUUUACCAGAGUACUAUGAAUAGUUAAAAAUUUAAAACUCAAAGGGCUUGGCGGUGUUUUAGACCUAUCAGGGGAACCUGUCUCGUAAUCGACAAUCCGCGCAAUAUCUAACCCUAUUUUGUAAUCAGUUUGUAUACCGUCGUCGUCAGGUAACUUUUAAAAAUAUAGAAGUUAGCAGUUAAAACUUAUUAGUUAAAACGUCAGAUCAAGGUGCAGCCUAUAGUAGGGAGAGGAUGGGUUACAGUUAUAAAAAUCAUAAUUACGGAAAUUUAAAUGGAACUUAUUUUGAAGGAGGACUUGAAAGUAAACUAAAAUACAUAAAUAGCUUGAAUAAGGCUCUGAAACGUGCACACACCGCCCGUCACCCUCUGCAGUCAAAAAA